GAUGUACGCUGGCGGCGUGCCUAAUACAUGCAAGUCGAGCGAAUGGAUUAAGAGCUUGCUCUUAUGAAGUUAGCGGCGGACGGGUGAGUAACACGUGGGUAACCUGCCCAUAAGACUGGGAUAACUCCGGGAAACCGGGGCUAAUACCGGAUAACAUUUUGAACCGCAUGGUUCGAACUUGAAAGGCGGCUUCGGCUGUCACUUAUGGAUGGACUCGCGUCGCAUUAGCUAGUUGGUGAGGUAACGGCUCACCAAGGCAACGAUGCGUAGCCGACCUGAGAGGGUGAUCGGCCACACUGGGACUGAGACACGGCCCAGACUCCUACGGGAGGCAGCAGUAGGGAAUCUUCCGCAAUGGACGAAAGUCUGACGGAGCAACGCCGCGUGAGUGAUGAAGGCUUUCGGGUCGUAAAACUCUGUUGUUAGGGAAGAACAAGUGCUAGUUGAAUAAGCUGGCACCUUGACGGUACCUAACCAGAAAGCCACGGCUAACUACGUGCCAGCAGCCGCAGUAA
rnacentral:rRNA from 1 species